rnacentral:rRNA from 1 species
AUGGCCAGUGACGGUUACACCCAACGCAUGGUACAAGCAUUCCACACCGUAUCUCUCACGCAUACAUUUGGCCAGGACCGUGCGCUGAGGAAUUGGUUCAUCGAGCUCGACGUCGAUUGGGUUCUCGAUGUAUUGCUGAAGCUACUUCUCAAAGAGGCAUCUGCGUAUUCGCUAAAAAAAUUGGUCGAGAGGUGGAUCCGAGCUCUCACGGUAAUUGUUGCCUGUGUCGACAAAGAGCUGGUCACCACCAUCAGUGACGCGCCAGCGGCCGCACGAUUUGUCACAGCGAGUGUCUCAGCAAUGCUCGUCUUUUUUGAUGCCAUCGUCCAGGUUAACGGGGAGGAGAAGCUACAAGCCAUGCUACAAAUGUAUAUCUGCGUGUGCAGUGCAUCAUAUGGCAUCUCGCCGAUGCACACGGUCAGUUCAGGUGCCCAAAGCAUUUUGAACGAUAUAAACAGCUCAAUGGACAGAGAAGGGAACAAGUUAAUCGAGUCCAUAUGUGAUACGAUGGUGCAGGUGAGGCGGACACUCAUGAAGUUUGACAACUUGUGUGCCACUGAGAUUCUGGAAGGAGGAGGUGAGGUUCACAAGAACACCGAGUUGAUGGUGGAUUACAUAGUUUUGAUGAGUAAAGCACAUGCUUCGACACAGAAGAACUCUGGACAGAGCCAGAACACCGGAAAGCUUGGAGACCUGAUACAUUACACAAUUGAUUAUCUGAACAAUUUGCUUGUGCGAAAAUCAGAGCUGUGCUCGGAUCCAAGCCUCAGGCUCAGAAAUUCUGGAAGGUGCCGGAACCUCGUCUCCGGUCCUUACUGCGGGAAACUAUCAUCAAGCGAGUCAUUUCAGCUUAUAAUGACUACCUGA